rnacentral:lncRNA from 1 species
AAUCAACACAGUGGAGGCGAGAAGUCUGGCCUUGCGCCGGCCGGGGAGCUUUUCGCCAAGGCUCCUGUGGGAUGGGAUAGCUUGUUCUCUGGGCUGCAGGAACCAAAACAUUAGACCACCCUUUCUGUGACCUUGGGCAUGCCGCCCUCGGUUCCGAGCCGCAAGUCUUUCUUUCGGGGAAAAUGAAAAGGGGUCAAGAUUUGGACCAGAUGACACCCAAUGUCCCAUUCAACGGUCGCAUUCUGUCAUCCACAGGAAUUAGUCCUGUAUCCGAAACAUUCUCUGGAGCCUGGAGACAGAUGGAGGGGAAGACAGAAGAGAGAUUAAGGAGAAGAAUGGUUUCAUUUGGAAGGACACUGACUAAGGAAAAACAGAGAAAAGGAUGAAACCCAAGCCAACUCUGCAACUCUAUUAAAAACACCAAGACUUCAAUAUGAACCUGGCAUGGUGGGCACAGUCGGGCACUGCAGGCGGCUUGCCUCCAGCAGAAGGAAUACUGCUACUCAGCUCUAGAUGAUUGCCCUGAAGAAAUUCAUGCCCACUGAAUCUCCUUAAAGGGAGGCAGUGCAUUCUUCAUGGCUAGAGCUUCAGCAGCUAUCUAGAACCAUAUGGUGGAAGCCACUUACUGAGAACUGUGAAACAAGAGCCUGGGUCCCUGACAUAUGAAGCCACCAUACCUACCUUAAAGUGUCUUUCACUUGAGGGAAAAAUACAUCUUUCUUAGAGAUUUGAAUUUUAAUGUCCCAGAAAUAUAAAGAAGAUGGCAUUAAAAUGUCCUAUAUGUUGGCAGUCCUACCCUGAAGACUUUUUUUGCUUAUCUUUUGUUCUGAGCUACAGUCUUCGCAGAGACUAAAUUAGUGACUGGACAACAGAAGAAAAUAGACCAUCCUGGCUAAAAUGGUGAAACCCCAUCUCUACUAAAAACACAAAAAAUUAGCUGGGCAUGUUAGCGGGUGCCUGUAGUCCCAGCUACUCGGGAGGCUGAGGCAAGAAAAUGGCGUGAACCUGGGAGGCGGAGCUUGCAGUGAGCUGAGAUCGCGCCACUGCACUCCAGCAUGGGGGAUAGAGCGAGACUCCGUCUCAAAAAAAAAAAAAAAAAAAAAAAAAAGAAAAUAGAAACGGGAAAUAUUCAUGUCAGCUGUUAAAAACCAGUUUUGUAAAGCAAGGCCUAAAAGUCCUAUCUCUGGCAUGUUUAGUAUUUGGCCAACUGGUUAGGUCUAGC